UACAGAGGUCUCAAGCGUUGUCCGGAAUCAUUGGGCGUAAAGCGCGCGUAGGCGGCCCGGUAAGUCCGUUGUGAAAGUCAAAGGCUCAACCUUUGAACGCCGAUGGAUACUGCCGGGCUAGAGUCCGGAAGAGGCGAGUGGAAUUCCUGGUGUAGCGGUGGAAUGCGCAGAUAUCAGGUGGAACACCAAUAGCGAAGGCAGCUCGCUGGGACGGUACUGACGCUGAGGCGCGAAAGCGUGGGGAGCGAACAGG
rnacentral:rRNA from 1 species